UACAGAGGGGGCGAGCGUUGUUCGGAAUUACUGGGCGUAAAGGGCGCGUAGGCGGCCUUCUAAGUCGAACGUGAAAUCCCCGGGCUCAACCCGGGAACUGCGUCCGAUACUGGGAGGCUUGAAUCCGGGAGAGGGAUGUGGAAUUCCAGGUGUAGCGGUGAAAUGCGUAGAUAUCUGGAGGAACACCGGUGGCGAAGGCGGCGUUCUGGACUGCGAACUGACACUGAGGAACGAAAGCCAGGGGAGCAAACGGG
rnacentral:rRNA from 1 species